GCCUUGAGAACAGAGGAAUAAGUAUAUUGAUCAUUUAACGGAUGAACCCACAUGUUUCAGUCGAGCAUAGUAUGAAAUGGCUUCAUGGGGCAUGUCAUUACAGAUAAACCCAAUUAUUGUUGUGUUCCAAAGGAGAGUUGAUGGUUGAGGAAUUGUAUCGAACAGUUGGCGGGCGAGAUGGGGUUGGCCUUGUCUGCUCGAUUGCUUAAACGAAAGCGAAUUGUUCUGGGUUUU
rnacentral:misc_RNA from 1 species